UACAGAGGUCUCAAGCGUUGUUCGGAUUCAUUGGGCGUAAAGGGUGUGUAGGUGGCGCGCUAAGUCGGGUUUGAAAUUUCGGAGCUUAACUCCGAAACUGCAUUCGAUACUGGCGUGCUUGAGGACUGGAGAGGAGACUGGAAUUCAUGGUGUAGCAGUGAAAUGCGUAGAGAUCAUGAGGAAGACCAGUGGCGAAGGCGGGUCUCUGGACAGUUCCUGACACUGAGACACGAAGGCCAGGGGAGCAAACGGG
rnacentral:rRNA from 1 species